GACGAACGCUGGCGGCGUGCUUAACACAUGCAAGUCGAACGGGAACCUUUAUUUCGGUAAAGGUGAGAGUGGCAAACGGGUGAGUAACACGUAGGCAACCUGCCGACAGGAUGGGGACAACAUUCCGAAAGGAAUGCUAAUACCGAAUGGAGUCCGGAGAUGGCAUCAUCUCCGGAUAAAAGAUGGCCUCUGAAUAUGCUAUCGCCUGUCGAUGGGCCUGCGUCUGAUUAGCCAGUUGGCGGGGUAACGGCCCACCAAAGCGACGAUCAGUAGCCGGUCUGAGAGGAUGAACGGCCACAUUGGGACUGAGACACGGCCCAGACUCCUACGGGAGGCAGCAGUGGGGAAUCUUCCACAAUGGGCGAAAGCCUGAUGGAGCAACGCCGCGUGAGUGAAGAAGGUCUUCGGAUCGUAAAGCUCUGUUGCACGGGACGAAAACCGGGUUUGAGAAUAUUGAACCCGGGGACG
rnacentral:rRNA from 1 species